GACGAACGCUGGCGGCGUGCUUAACACAUGCAAGUCGAACGAAGGGGCGAACGGGAGAGUAAUAAGCGGGUAACCUGCCCUCCUUUUUGGGAUAAGCCUUGGAAACGGGGUCUAAUACCGAAGAAAGGGGGAUGGGCUCGCGGCCUAUCAGCUUGUUGGUGGGGUGAUGGCCUACCAAGGCGGUGACGGGUAGCCGGCCUGAGAGGGUAACCGGCGACAUAGAUACUGAGCUGCGGCCCAUAGUACUACGGGAUGAAGCAGUUGGGGAAAGUGCAGAAUGGGCGAAAGCCUGGUGCAGCGUCGCCGCGUGGGGGUUGAAGGCUUUCGGGUUGUAACCCUCUUUCGCUAACGAGCGGGUAGUUGGAGAAGAAGCGCCGGCUAACUACGUGACAGCAGCCGCGGUAAUUC
rnacentral:rRNA from 1 species